rnacentral:lncRNA from 1 species
UUCCAAGAUGCUGUUCGACAAAACACCAUGAAAGAAGACGAAGAAGAGGUGGCGGAAGAAGUGUUGUUUUUAAUGUUCUGUACAUAUUCAGAUGUCUGUGUAGAUUCAUAUUCAGAGUUUUAUUAUUAUGCGAGUCACCUGGUGCACAACCUGCUGCAAAGCGACAGAUCAGGAGCAGUCGCUGAUGCUUUUAGAGAAACUUAUGCCAAAUCAAUAUAGCCACACUGUGUGUAGCUAUGAAACAGUGGGAGAAAACAAGUUCAAGGCAGCAAUAAAACUGAAGCUGUCCAGUGAAGAGGAGGCAAAGAGAUGGCUUGAUGAAUUCAAGAGGUCGUCAGGGUUCAUAUGGCGGACCUCCAAAACCUACCCUAAUGGAGGGCGCUACAACAAAUUUAGAGUUGACUACAAGUGCAAGACGAUAAAGAAGAACGCAACUUGCCCAGCUACUCUGUUCCUGGUACUGAAACGGCAUCCAGAAUUUGGAGAAAGGAAAUCAAGAUCUGGAGAUCCUCACAUGAAGGAAGGACUCUUCCUUCAUAUUAACUUGCGCAAUGAGCACAACCAUCAUCUCUCAUGUGCUGGACUUGUGAGAAGGGACGUCUCUGGAGAAACGAUCGAAAAACUCAAAAAGCUGUUUGAAAGUGGCCACACUCCUUCAUCAGCUCUCAAAGAACUGAAGCACAAUUUGCAGGUGCAGGAAAAAGACAAUUACGUGAAUGCGGCCGCAGAUCGUUCCGUCUGCCCUGAUUUGCCAUUUUGUUACAGACUGUAUUACAAACUUUUCAAAAAAGCUUACAAUGCCGCUGCGGGAGAAGAGGUCUCCCGCGAGCUUGAACGAACCCUCAUCGAUUACAACAAGGAGCAAGGAGACGUUUGUGCCGGCAUGUGCAAAACCUCCGACAACCAGCUGGUGAUCGCUCUGUGCACUCCGCUGAUGAAGAGGGUCCACGCUCGGUGGGUACUUUACCUUUGGGUGCAUUUAUCACGACAUCUGCAACCCAGGCCACUUUUUCUGCUGCCAUGCAGCUGCUACACACCGUCUUUCCACCUGAGAGGUUCUUCGGCCAUCCGGAUGGACCUCUUGUUGUUAUGA